UACGGAGGGAGCAAGCGUUACUCGGAUUUAUUGGGCGUAAAGGGCGCGUAGGCGAUUCGAUAAGUCUCCUGUGAAAUCCCAGGGCCUAACCCUGGAAUGGCAUGGGAUACUGUUGGAUUUGAGUUCCGGAGAGGAAGGCAGAAUUCCCGGUGUAGCGGUGAAAUGCGUAGAUAUCGGGAGGAAUACCAGUGGCGAAGGCGGCCUUCUGGACGGAUACUGACGCUGAGGCGCGAAAGCCAGGGGAGCAAACAGG
rnacentral:rRNA from 1 species